rnacentral:sRNA from 1 species
AAAGUAUUCCAAACCAAAGGAGGAUGGAACUUCAUAAGACUUGGGAAAUAAAUAAAACCAUCAAGUUUUGGAAAGAUAAAACAUGCAAGAUUCACAAUGCCUUCACAAUUGCUGGGGAGGAGACUCUCCAACCAGCCCAGCUACCUCAGAGUUUUUCAGGGAGCUCCAGAGAUUCAGGCUCAUAAGCAAUCAUCCAUGCUGUUGGACUUUUGGCUUGAAUCAUACAUGUUCUAAAAGUAACCCCUUACACAUACUCUAGAGGCAGCCCUAAUAGAGUUAGUGGUGCCUCAAAUAAAACUGUGGUAGAAUCAAGUAAGAUGUUUCUUGAGUCUGCAGAUGAUGCCUUCCGUACCUGGAGUAAGGAAAUGUCUGUUUAUGUCUCCCCAGGAAAAGUCACACAACAACCAUCAUUCUCUGAAAUUCCCUCAUCUGGAGACGUGUCAUCCCAGUCACCAAGCUUUCUUUACCUGACAUCUCCCUCUAAGCCUCUAUGUCUCCUCUGCUUUGCAUAUUCAUGUACAUCUGGACAACAAGAACCAUCCUGUUGAUGACACAUGCUUCCUGUGGGAUAAGAUGGCUAAGAGAUGUCUGCUGAAUUUGAAGACCACUACCCAGUAAGACUCCAGCACCAGGCUAGAUCUUAAAUCGUGAUUAUAAAGAAACUUGUGCCUGUUGGGAUAUG